rnacentral:rRNA from 1 species
CGAGACCUGCCCAGCAGAGCGACCCGCGAACGCGUGAAAACAAACCGGGACGGGCCGAGGAGGGGCAUCCGCCCCCGAUCGCCCGUCCGCCGGAGCACGUCCGACACCCCCGUCGGUCCGAAAGGACGGAAUUCGGGGGGUCGCGACGAGUUGUCCGUGCAGAACCAAAAACCGGCGCGACAGGCGCCAAGGAAACCUCAGAAGGAAACGGAGGGUUGGCCCGUCCGCGGGCGCGACCCUCGGAAUCCGAUACUCGAACGACUCCCGGCAACGGAUAUCUCGGCUCUUGCAUCGAUGAAGAACGUAGCGAAAUGCGAUACUUGGUGUGAAUUGCAGAAUCCCGUGAACCAUCGAGUCUUUGAACGCAAGUUGCGCCCGAGGCCACUAGGUCGAGGGCACUUCUGCCUGGGCGUCACACAAGGCGUCGCCCCCGACAACCGAUGAGGUCGUCGGGGAGCGGAGAUUGGCCCCCCGGGCCCAUCAGGGCACGGUCGGCACAAAUGCUGGUCCCCGGCGACGAGCGUCGCGGUCAUCGGUGGUCGUGUUAAUCGCCCCCAUACGGCUGACUCGCGUGCCUCGUCGUCGUUUCGUGGACGCAACCACCCCCGGGAGCCGCCAUUUCAAUGGCA